CAAAACCAUUCCCCUACCUGAUGUUUACCCCCUGACUAAUGCACCUAACUUAUAUAUCCCUGAACACUACGGGCAGCUUAGCACAGGCAAUCUAACCGAAUGUGCACGUGUUUAGAUUGCGGGAGGAAACCCACGCAGACACGGGAGAAUGUGCAAACUCCACACAGAGAGUUGCCCUGAAGAGGGAAUCGCACCCAGGUCCCUGGGCACUGUGAGGCAGCAGUGCUAACCACUGAACCACCAUGCUGCUCCAGUAGUUAAAGUCGUUGACCUAUUCACAUUCUAAAUCCUCUUCUGCUGAAAUGGUGCAUUCAGUUCUGAGCACCACACUUGGAGAAAACAUGAUCAGGCCUUUGGAGGUGGUGCAGAAAAUGUUUGCGGGAAUAGUAUCAGGCACCUGCAAAGUGUAACGUAAAAUGUUCACAGUUCCAACAAUACUCAAGAAACUGGCCCCAUCCAGGAUUUCCAGCAGCUGCGGCAUGCACUUGCUUCAUGACCAGCGGGCAGCGUGUACCGUCUAAGAUCCAGUGCACCGUCUCACCAAGGCUCCUUCAACAGCACAUUCCAAACCCCACUACAACUGAGAAGUUAGUUGGAUUACCACCAUGUUACAAAUUAGUUUUACCACCAUUAAUUGCAAUCCCCCUCAAAACCGUCCUGAAUUGAAACUUUAUCACGAUUAACCCUCUGUCACUGGAUUAGAAUCCCAGAGCUACCUUCCAGACAGCACUGUGGGCGUACUUUCGGCAACUGGACCGUAGCAGUACAAAUAAGCAGUUCACCAGCUCCUUCACUGCUGGUCUGGGCGACAGAGACCACAUCCCAUGAAUAUAUUAGAAGUAAGCAUGUUGCAAAUGGAGGAUUUGCAUUCGGGAACCAAAACCAAUCAUCACAUUGAGGUCUGACGGUGUUCCUCGAUUCAUCAGAACCUGGGCAUUCGGGACGUUUGAGGGUCUCCCUCCAAUCGAAAACAAAAGCAGAAUUGGCUGGAGAA